UACGUAGGGGGCGAGCGUUGUCCGGAAUUAUUGGGCGUAAAGAGCGUGUAGGCGGUUCGGUAAGUCUGCCGUGAAAACCUGGGGCUCAACCCCGGGCGUGCGGUGGAUACUGCCGGGCUAGAGGGUGGUAGAGGCGAGUGGAAUUCCCGGUGUAGCGGUGAAAUGCGCAGAUAUCGGGAGGAACACCAGUGGCGAAGGCGGGAUCCUGGGCCAGUACUGACGCUGAGGAGUGAAAGCGUGGGGAGCAAACAGG
rnacentral:rRNA from 1 species